AUUGAACGCUGGCGGCAGGCCUAACACAUGCAAGUCGAGCGGUUGACGGGAGCUUGCUCCCUGAUUCAGCGGCGGACGGGUGAGUAAUGCCUAGGAAUCUGCCUAUUAGUGGGGGACAACGUUUCGAAAGGAACGCUAAUACCGCAUACGUCCUACGGGAGAAAGCAGGGGACCUUCGGGCCUUGCGCUAAUAGAUGAGCCUAGGUCGGAUUAGCUUGUUGGUGAGGUAUGGUGAACCAAGGCGACGAUCCGUACCUGGUCUGAGAGGAUGAUCAGUCACACUGGAACUGAGACACGGUCCAGACUCCUACGGGAGGCAGCAGUGGGGAAUAUUGGACAAUGGGCGAAAGCCUGAUCCAGCCAUGCCGCGUGUGUGAAGAAGGUCUUCGGAUUGUAAAGCACUUUAAGUUGGGAGGAAGGGUUGUAGAUUAAUACUCUGCAAUUUUGACGUUACCGACAGAAUAAGCACCGGCUAACUCUGUGCCAGCCGCCGCCGUAAUAC
rnacentral:rRNA from 1 species